AGUGAACGCUGGCGGUAGGCCUAACACAUGCAAGUCGAACGGCAGCACAGUAAGAGCUUGCUCUUACGGGUGGCGAGUGGCGGACGGGUGAGGAAUACAUCGGAAUCUACUUUUUCGUGGGGGAUAACGUAGGGAAACUUACGCUAAUACCGCAUACGACCUACGGGUGAAAGCAGGGGAUCUUCGGACCUUGCGCGACUGAAUGAGACGAUGUCGGAUUAGCUAGUUGGCGGGGUAAAGGCCCACCAAGGCGACGAUCCGUAGCUGGUCUGAGAGGAUGAUCAGCCACACUGGAACUGAGACACGGUCCAGACUCCUACGGGAGGCAGCAGUGGGGAAUAUUGGACAAUGGGCGCAAGCCUGAUCCAGCCAUACCGCGUGGGUGAAGAAGGCCUUCGGGUUGUAAAGCCCUUUUGUUGGGAAAGAAAAGCAGCAGGUUAAUACCCCGCUGUUCUGACGGUACCCAAAGAAUAAGCACCGGCUAACUUCGUG
rnacentral:rRNA from 1 species